rnacentral:antisense_RNA from 1 species
CUUGAUCGACCCCAGCAACAGUGGCUGUUCCCGGUCCCGGCCAUAGGUCGCCAGCAGCGCCUGCGCCUC